UUUGAUAAAGGUAUAUAAUAAGCAAUUAGAAAAUUUUGUUGCAAAAAAAAAUAAAUAUUUCAUGCCAUUAAGAGUCGGCACACAUGUAUUGUUUGUGACCGGCAUUCAUUGGCACGCAUUGUGCCGUGCCGUACCGUGCCGGCAAGUUUUCGGCACAACUCCGUGCCACGACACUUGAAUCUUUGAUUUGCAUAUUGCAACUCCUUAUAUUUGGUUGUUAUUUGCUUCGGCUAUUUUGCAAUUUAGUUAUCCUUCCUCUCCGGUUAGUUUGUGAAUAGCUCUCACUUGGUUUUGGUAUUGUUGGUGCAGAUAGACUUGCCGACCAUUUGAUUGUGGACUGUGUUGCGGAUUUCUUGGAGCAACAUUUUUUGUCACUUCCUGCGUUGAGCUUAUUUGCCACUCCGAGCCUCCUUGGGAGUUUGCCCCCUCACUUAGGUUGCCAAGCCCCCAACAUGCCAAGCCCUCAACAUGGAAUCCGAAUGCCAUACAAAAUAACUUUGUAAAGCUGAUUAAGAGGUUUGCCGUGAUCUCUUGGAGCAAGAUUUUCAUCAGAGACUACUAUGCUUUUUGUGAGUAUGGGGGUCUUUAUACUCAUAACUCAUUUUCAAUGGAAGAGUGGAUAAGGAUGAACUGGCGCAAGAGGCAAGCUGCUGGGUCACUAAAUGAGGUUUCAGACGCCCGAAAGUGGGUUCCUGCCCGAAAGUGCAAUUUUGUUGAGUAGACUGCUUUGCUAAAUUCUGGUCUUUUUAUCUGCAAUUGUUGCAACACCUGUGGAUAGCCUAUGACCCCAGCUGCCUCCUUCAUUCACAUCACUGGUGGGAGCCUUUCUUCAGUAGAACUGAGUUGAAAACUGGGGAAGAAGGUUGGCGGAGAGUCGCUUUGGAGUCCUCAGCCAUCUUGGAGUAAGUUGAGGCCAGGUUUCAUGAGCUAUAUAUAUAUAUAUAUAGCGCCUUGUACGGCUAUAAUUGGGUUAAAUAGAACUGGUUGGCAACCUUGGGAUUUGGCUAGGUUUAAAACAGGAAAAUGAUGUGUUUUAGGCUGGUUGUGAGCUUGGAGCUAAUGCUUAAACAUUCUUCACAAGUAGAAGCUCUAAUUGCUGGGUGAGAUUGCCGAAAACGGCGAACAAGCUUCUUUGUCUAUUGUUCUCUGUUUUUGCUGAAGUUAUGUGAUUCCUAAAGCAUGAAAUACUUGUUAGAAACAUGUUAUUCACUGCCCUUUUGAUGUAUGAUCAUGUAGUAACAUGUUGGUCAUAACAUUGACUAGAUAAUAGUGAGAUGAUACAAGUGAUAUGGAGUCA